UUUGAACUGUUCAUUUCCAUUUAUCUUAUUUAAUUUUUUUUAUGAUUAGUAUUUUUAUUGUUAUUAGAUGAUAAAACAUUAAUAGUAUUUUAUGUGUGAUUUUUUUAAAAAAAUUCAUAAUAUUUUAAAAUAAGAUGGACGUUAAAUGUUGGACACAGAUUCUUACGGAUGCACUUAUU
rnacentral:pre_miRNA from 1 species